CACUGUCUUAUUUACAAUGAAAAUGACGCCGUUUGCGAAUAAUUAAAUAUCAGACGUCAUUAUGAAUCUAAACAUGGAACUUUAAAAGUGGCCUCCCGCUCCAGACAGAAGCGUUAACUGCAAGCUACACACAUGGCUUUUAUGGCUGACCAAUUCUGUCACUUAAACGGGUUAAAUCUGCAGUUAUAAGGAAGAGGGAAAAGCGUGAGACCUUUACUAGGAAGCUUGAGUUGUUUGAUUUUUAUUUGUUAGGCUAUUGCACUUAAGCACAAUGAAGAACGCCAGGCAGAGGGACCAGACAACUUCUCCACCAGAUUUGAUGACUACAGCAUGCCCAAGGAUAUCAUUGCGUUUGUACGUGAUGCUUUCAAAGUCUGCCCAGGAACAAGCUAUCCCGAUACAGUUGUCACGCCCUGAUCUGUUUCACCUGUUCCUGUGAUUGUCUCCACCCCCUCCAGAGUUCUCCUGGUUCUGACCCCCACCUGACUCUGCACUACUUUCCUGCCUGCCUGAUCAUCCUGCCUGCCCUUCGGUACCUAUUGGAUUCUGAUCUGGUUUUGACCUUUUUCCUGUCCUUGACUUUUCUGUUGCCUACCCCUUUGGAUAAAUAAACAUUCUAAGACUCCUACCAUCUGCCUCCUGUGUGUGCAUCUGGGUCUCCUCUUGUGCCUUGAUACAGACAUUUGCUUUUUUCUUUAAUUGAUUGUUUUAUGUAGGAUGCUGUGUUUUUGGCCAGUUGCAAUUGUAAAUAAGCCUA